rnacentral:lncRNA from 13 species
AAAGUCUCCAGGGACAUCAGGAUAGCCAGCAUACUGUAUUGUUACUUGUAUUACUUGGUUUUAUCAUAAAAAUCUGUCACAACAGUUGGCUGGUCUGUCAAAGAUUGCCUUAAAUGAACAUUUUAUUCCAGGGAAUUACAAAAUAUUUAUUUAUUUAUGUAUGUAUUAUUUAUUUUCUUCUUUUUUGAGACAGGGCCUCACUCUGUCACCCCGGCUACACUGCAGUGGCUUACUGAAACUUCACAUCCCAGGCUCAAGCAAUCCUCCUCCCUCAGCCUCUCAGCCUCUUCAGUAGCUACAACACAGGUCCCACAGGCUUUGGAUUAUCUGUAUAAACUAUCUCGGCCGGGUGCGGUGGCUCAAGCCUGCAGUCUCAGCACUUUGGGAGGCCGAGUGGACGGAUUGCCUGACCUCAGGAGUUUGCGAUCAGCCUGGGCAACACGGUGAAACUCCUCCUCUACUGAAAAAAAUAAGACAUAAAAUCAGUUGGCCGUGGCGCCGUGCGCCUAUAGUCCCAGCUACUCGAGGCUGAGACAGCAGAAUUGCUUGAACCCGGCAGAUGGAUGUUGCAGUGAGCCAAGAUCAUGCCACUGCCCUCUUGCCUUGGUGACAGAGACUCCGCCCCCGCGCCCCCCCAAAAAGAACAAAAACAAAGCAAAACUAUCUCAAAUGUAUUUGGCUUUACUUAACUCACCUGUAUAGACUUAUAAAUAUAUCAUUACAGAGGAAGCAUGGAAGCCAAGAAGAGCCAAAAUACUAUUGAGUAUAAAUACCGUAUUAUUAGUAAGAAUGCUUCCAAAUAUAUUCCACUAUGGAAUUCAAGCUGUCUUUGGUUUUAAGAUUAUUCUCCUUCAUUCGAUUAUUGGUUUCAUGUUAUUAUUACUGAUUUCACCAUAUUAGAUUUUAUAUUAUUUAAAGUGGAAUGUGUAUCAUGUUCAUCUUUAUAUCUUGUUUUUAUGCAUCAAUAAGAACAUACCUAGAAGAAUGCUUUAUAUACUUUAAGUGCCUAUUCAAUGUGUAUUAUAUAAAGGUGAAUUUCAAUAUAAAUGAACACAUCAAAUAUUUAAUUUUAGUCUUUAAAAAAUUGUUAUUUGUAACAUAGACCAGUGAAAAUAGUUACAUAAAAUAUAUGAUAAUAAUAUAAUAUUUAAUAUUAUAUAUAACAAUAUCAAAUAAAAUUUAAUGUCAGAUCA